ensembl:lncRNA
GGGAUGGGGAUGGGAUGGGAUGGGAUGGGACCCCAAAGAUCCCAACACGGUGGUGAAGGCGGUCCUGGAGGUCCCAACGUGGUGUGCUGACCCCAAAGAUCCCAAUGGGGUUGUGAAGGUGGUCCCGGAGGUCCCAACGUGGUGUGCUGACCCCAAAGAUCCCAACAUGGUGGUGAAGGCGGUCCCGGAUGCCCCACCCCAGUUCUCCCCGCGGUCCCAAUGCAGUGGUGAUGCGCUGACCCCAAACAUCCCAACGCGGUGGUGAAGGCGGUCCCGGAGGUCCCACCCUGGCGGUCCCCGCCAUCCCAAUGCAGUGGUGAUGCGCUGACCCCAAAGGUCCCAAUGGGGUUGUGAAGGUGGUCCCGGAGGUCCCAACGUGGUGUGCUGACCCCAAAGAUCCCAACAGGGUGGUGAA